rnacentral:pre_miRNA from 1 species
AAAAAAUACAAACCCUGGUUUCCGUGCCCAACGUUUGACCGUCCGUCUUAUUUGAAAAAAUUAUGAAAAAAAUUAAAAAGACAAGUUACGCAUAAAAUAUUAAUCAUGUUUUAUCAUCUAACAACAAUAAAAAUACGAAUUAUAAAAAAAAUUUAUAUAAGACGGACAGUUAAAAUUGGACACGGAAACUCAUGGUUUGUCUUUUU